CGCGCCACACAUAGGCUUGCAGCCUGGCCGGCGGGGCGCCGGGGGUCGCAUCAGAGGAUGGAGCGGGUGGCAGGGAAGGCGACUCGCUCUCGCUCAGGCCGGGCCUGGCCCCGAGAGUUGGUACCGGAGCCUCGCGAGGCCGCACUUACCGUAAUUUUGGUCUCUGAGCGGUCUGGCGGGAGGGCUUGGGACAAAUUUGUCUUGGCAAAAGCAAUACUAUGUUUCUUUAUUUGGAACACAUAUCUGGAAACAUCAUUAGUUCAAACAUUAAAAAUAAGCUGUUAAAAGUUGUAUUUGCUUGCACAAGAUCAAGCCAACCAAAAAUUCAGCAUGGAUGGCAGAGGAACUCCUGAGACCUCAACCCUUGUAACCAAGAGCUAUUGACAGUUGUUGGCUGCUGAAGAAAGGAGACUAACUGCUUUGUAGACGUGGCCGUGCCCCAGCACGUGGCCCCACACCUGUGUACAUAUGGUCAACAAUAAUUGGAGUCGGGGGUGGAAAGAUGGCUCAGUGGUUAAGAACACAUACUGCUCUUUCAAAGGACUGAAGUUUGACUCCUAGCACCCACCUUCUGUGGCUUACAACCAUCUGUAACUCCAGCUCAAAGGAAAUCUGCCACCUCUGGCCUCAUUGGGCACCUGCACUCAUAUGUACAUAUUCACACAGAGACACACAUAUAUGCAUAAUUAAACAUAAUAAAAAUAAAUCAGAGCUAA